AUUGAACGCUAGCGGGAUGCCUUACACAUGCAAGUCGAACGGCAGCGCGGACUUCGGUCUGGCGGCGAGUGGCGAACGGGUGAGUAAUGUAUCGGAACGUGCCCAGUAGCGGGGGACAACCACUCGAAAGAGUGGCUAAUACCGCAUACGCCCUACGGGGAAAGGGGGGAGUCGCAAGACCUCGCGCGAUUGGAGCGGCCGAUAUCAGAUUAGGUAGUUGGUGAGGUAAAGGCUCACCAAGCCAACGAUCUGUAGCUGGUCUGAGAGGACGACCAGCCACACUGGAACUGAGACACGGUCCAGACUCCUACGGGAGGCAGCAGUGGGGGAAUAUUGGGCAAUGGAGGAAACUCUGACCCAGCGACGCCGCGUGCGGGAUGAAGGCCUUCGGGUUGU
rnacentral:rRNA from 1 species